rnacentral:tRNA from 2 species
GCCUGGGUGGCGGAAUUGGCAGACGCGUCGGUUUCAAAAACCGAUGGCCGCAAGGUCAUGGGGGUUCGAUUCCCCCCCCAGGCACCA